AACAAACUGCAAAGGGAAGAGAGUUAUAAAAAAAUGCUACUUUUGUGCAAGCAAUUGCGAAUAGCUCAUUAUUUUAUUCAUGAGAAAAUAAAACUCCACGUAGGAGCAUGCGCUGGAACCAUUGCCGUUUGACUGGGGAAGAAACUGGUGAAGACCCAGUGAGGGUAGAGUAUAGCGGGGCAAGAGUGAGGUGGUGUUGGUCUAGCCGUACUGAGGAACACACUAUGGAGCAGAACCCAGCUCAGCAUUUCAAAUGCCCAGACUAAACAAGCUAAAAAUGAAGAAACGCCUUCGAAGUGAUGACAACUGGCUGGAGGACAAAGGCUCGGGCAAUGUGGUUGUCGCAAAUACUAAGAGGUUUAAAGGUCGUCGUGUGGACUUCAUACAACAGUGGAGAGGGCUAUGUGAUUCGUAUCAGCGGUGGCAAUGACAAGUAGGGCUUCCCCAUGAAGCAAGGUGUCCUCACUAAUGGCCGUGUUAAGCUCCUCCUCAAGAAGGGGCACAGACCCAGACGCACUUGAGAGAGGAAACGCAAGUCAGUGAGAGGCUGCAUAGUGGACAGCAACCUGAGUGUGCUCAAUCUAGUCAUCAUCAAGAAAGAGUGUCCCCUCAGAUCUGUGCCCGGCCCUACACUGUGUUCCGAUGGUGUCCUGGUGCUAAGAUGCGCUACAAGAGAACAGAGGUCUGCCAAUCAUGUGCCCAACUCAAGAACGUCUGUCAAACCUGUCUCCUUGUACCGCCCACCGCGGAUCAGGAUCUCCUGGACUACAACGGAAUUGUCAACCAGCCAAUGCCACAGCGAAGGAUUAAUUCAGAGGCAACUGCCUAGCAUUCUCUGUUGGGAUCUCCUGGUUUGGAACGGACCAGCCAAGGCCACAGCACUUCAUAGAUGGCAACGACCUCUGCGUACAUCCUGGUGGUGAAGAGGGAAGUGAGCUAUUCCUAGCGAUUUCAAGGGUGUCUUGCUCUUUUUGGAGCAGUAGUCGCCAAUUAUCUCCUUGGCCAACUCGUGACGAAAUGAGAGGAGGGUUUUCAGUGCGUUGGUGGGUGAAUACUGUCGAUAUAAUAUGUAGCUGUUCGUAAUGCAAAUAUCCUUUAGGAAGAAGUGAAUGUACAUAUAAAACUUAUGGACUUUUGUAGGGCAUCUGUAGUACCCUCUGAGCUGAUCCCCUCUGUCGACACCCCCCAUUAAGCGAUUAUAGUCCUCGAUGCUCUGUGGGACGGGACGGAGAUUUUUUCGCCUGUUUUGACUGUACGUUGUACAGAGAUGACCGAAGUGGCGUCAGAGGCUGUGGAGAUCACACGGACAACCUUAUUGUCGCUGAGACCGUCACCUUUUUCUUUCUGGAGAGUCAUGUAUUCCCCCCUGAAAAGGUAAAUAAUAAUUAUGCUUAUUACUUUCUGUCAGCUUUGGCUGCUUGAGAGCCUUGGGGAAGCCUCUGCGGUCAGCGCGAGCUGUACCACAAGUAUAAAUGCCAUCCUUCUCCAAGUCUUCUAACAGUUUGACAGAUGUGAAAAAGUUGUCAAAAUAGACGUGGUGGUGCUUGUGCUUCAACGAGGCUGUGAGGUCUUUCACAACUCAUGCUCCCAGUUGCUUCUCUGGUGUGGCUUCUCUCCCUGUAUACACUUGUAGCAUGUGGAAGUACCCAUUGGAGCUGUUUGCUAGGACCCAAACCUUGAUUCCUCUCUUCACAGGUUUAUUUGGGAGGUACUGUUCAGUGCAGAUCUACCCUGAAACUUUAUCAUUGCCUCGUCUACUGCAACUUCACGGCCUAAGUUGUAUGCAGCAGAACAGCGCUCGUUGAUCUUAUUGAAGAGGGGGCGUACUUUGGCCAAACGAUCGCUACCUGGGGUGCCUGGAGUUGGGAGAGUGGUGUUGUCGCGUGAGAUCUUCGAUGCAAUUGUGGUAAAGAAAUGCUGGAAUAUGUCUAAGGGAGAACUUGAGAUGGAUACAGCUGGGCCUACAGAUUGGAUAAAGGCCUCUCGAGAAUGGUGGAGUCCAAGGGCAGGUUUCAGCACGGACUCACAGUCACUGCAGCAGGCUCUCUGUUACCUGCACUGUCAGGGGAUUGUUCACAAUGACCUGAGACUGCCGGGUCAUGGCAUCAUUAAGAGGUCAGUACAUAGUUACAUGGGCAUGACCUCUGUAAUCUGAAAUACUGAGGUCAGAGGUCAUGAGUAUUAUGUUUAUUGCUUUUGGGCCUAAAUUUUAUAUUUUUUUGAAGAAAGAGCAAGGAUAUAGAGAGUGUCAUACAGGGGGGAUAUCCCCCCUGCAUUCAUGCAGGUACUAGUUGGGGUCCAUAGCUGGCAAUUUUACAUACUAACAGCUAUAGGGUAUUGAAGUAACAGUUGACCUUUUUUUUAGCUAGUUACAUUUCAACAAUCAUUUCCCACUAUAAUUAUACGUGUGGUAAUCGUCUAAUUUCAUGCUAAAGAAUGUGUGUGCCUUUUGAUGGAGGAAUCAAUGAUUGAUUUUAGUAUACGUAGCUAUACCCACAUUGUACUAUUAUAUACAGCUAAAAUCCUUAUCACACACACACACCCCACCCCACCCACCCACACACACACACACACCCACACACCACCCACACAUACCACACCCACAGGCACAAGGCAGACUAGUGUCCUCCUGGUGAAGCUACACCUUCAACUGUAUGAGAUGUACACACAAGAACACAAUCUGCUUGACUUCAAGACUGUGACCUGGUCCCAUACUAACUUUAAUUUAUUAGCUUUCUAGUGACCUACGUAUAAUAUCACAACCA